AACCAGUACCGUGAGGGAAAGGUGAAAAGCACCCCGGAAGGGGAGUGAAAUAGAACCUGAAACCGUGUGCUUACAAGUAGUCAGAGCCCGUUAAUGGGUGAUGGCGUGCCUUUUGUAGAAUGAACCGGCGAGUUACGAUUUGAUGCAAGGUUAAGCAGUAAAUGUGGAGCCGUAGCGAAAGCGAGUCUGAAUAGGGCGUUUAGUAUUUGGUCGUAGACCCGAAACCAGGUGAUCUACCCUUGGUCAGGUUGAAGUUCAGGUAACACUGAAUGGAGGACCGAACCGACUUACGUUGAAAAGUGAGCGGAUGAACUGAGGGUAGCGGAGAAAUUCCAAUCGAACCUGGAGAUAGCUGGUUCUCUCCGAAAUAGCUUUAGGGCUA
rnacentral:rRNA from 1 species